AUGGGCGGGAGGACAGGGCAAGCCCUGGGGGCGGAGGGAGGGGGCGGGUGCUGGAGGCAGAGGGAGCAGGUGCACGUGCUGGAGGGGCCGGCGGUGCCUGGCGCUGGUCCCGCGGGCUGGGCAGGGAGGGGGGUCCGGCCGGGUUUCAGCGGGUCAUCCUGGCACGGGGCGAGGAAGGCCCUCCCGAGGGCGGCUGGCCCCGCCCGGGCUGUCCCCCCCCCCCCCGCCCGGCGGCCAGUGCAGCGCCCACCUGGCGGCAGGUGCACAGCGGGGCCCGGCCUGGAGGGCGGAGGCGCCCGCGGCGCUCGGGGGACGCUGUGGGGCGUGGCCGGUGCUCUGGGAGGGGACCCCGGGCGCGGCGCGGUGCCGGCGCCUCCAGGGGACUUUUCCUUCUCUGACGUCGUCGCGGAGGGAGGGAGGGAGGGAGGGAGGGAGGCAGCGGAGGGGCCGCCCGGGGGGGGAUGCUCCCGGCAGGCGCCGUCGCCCACUGGCCCUGCUGCGGCGGCUCGGCGGCGGCUGGGGGCCCGGCGUCCUGCGGCCACCUCGGGGCUCGGGCUCGGGCUCGGGCUCGGGCUCGGGGCCGCGGUGCCAUCGGGGCGGCGGGCGGAGGGGCGGAGGGGCGGCCCGGCUGCAGCGGCCCCAGGCGCGUCCCCGGCGGCGGAGCUGCCCCUGCGCGCCCCCAGGCGGCGGCCGCCCCGAGGGUCCCGCAGACACGCGCCGGGCCGCGGCGGGGAGGCUCCCGGGGCGCGGCGCCAAUCGGGAGGGAGCACGGGCCGCCCCGCCCCCGCCCCCGCCCCCGCCCCCGCCCCCCGCGCAGGCCGGAGCCCGGGCGUGACCCGCCGAGACCCGCGGCGCAAGGUCCACAGCCGGGCCCGACGCCCCGACGCCCCGACGCCCCGACGCCGCGCCCCCCCGCCCCGCCCCCGCCCGCGCGGCCCCGCAGCGCCCUCGGCCCCGCAGCGCCCCGCGGAGGGACGGGACGGGCCGGCCCCGACUCACCUCUCGGCCGCGAGCCGCCCGGGCGGCGGCCUCCCUCCGUGGCUGCGGCCCGGGGCCCCCGGCAGGAGCAGCGCGAGGCAGGCGGCGCGGAGGACCAGGGCGGCCCACAUGGCGGGCGGCGGCCCCGCUGGGCUGCGCUCGGGCGCCCGGGGAGGGGCAGGGCGGGGGCCCGGCGCCGCGGAGCGAGACCAGGAGCAGCGCCGCUCGCCGGCCGCGGCCUCUGGACGAGCGCGGAGCCCGGGGCGGGGGCAAAGAUCAGGGACCCCUGGGGGCGGGGCCUCACCCGGGCCCACACCCCGGCCCCGCUCCGCUCGGCGGCCUGGGAGGGCUGCGGGCGCCGGACCGAGGCCAGGGCCGGGCCGAGACGCGGGGCUCCCCGAGCGGGCGGGGGCGGGGGCGGGGGCGGGCGCCGAGGCCGGGCGCGGGGCACGGCUGCCCGGGAAGGCGGAGGCAGGGCCGCGCCCCGGUCCACCUGCCCCCGGCCAGGGGACGCCGGCGACGCCCGGGCCCGGAGGCGCCCCUUCGCCCCCUUCCGCGGCUGCCCCGGGCCGGGCCGCAGCCAGAGACCGGCGGGCGGGGAGCGGGGAGCGGAGGGAAAGCGGACCUUCCAGCGGCGAGGAGGCAGCGAGGACGCCCAGACCCCUCUGCCCCGGGCAGGAGGCCCCCCGGCCCCCCAGAUCCCGCCACCCAAGCUUCCGCUCACACACUUCCAGGGACGAGGAGCUCACCUGCCGAAGGGGAGCCCAAGCCAGUUUUGCGUGA
rnacentral:lncRNA from 1 species